GGGCAUCUUGCUGACCCAGGGAUGAAACCUGCACCUCUUAAGUCUCUUGCACUGGCAGACGGUUUCUUGACCACUAGCAUUAUCUGGAAGCUGUGAAGGUAGGUGUCCUUAAAGUCCCAAACCAGUGACUUUAAGUAAAGGAGAUGAUCCAAGGCAACCCAGAUGGGCCUGAUUCCAUCAGUUCAAAGGUUGUAAGAGCAGAGCUGAGGGUUCCCUGAAGGGGAAGAAAUCCUGCCUGGGGCCUAUAGCUGGGUCUGAGUUCCAGCCUGCUCUUCCUAAGGGCCUCCCCUGUGGAUUUCUGACUCACCCAGCCAGCCCCACAAUCUCAUAAGCCAAUUCCUUGCAACAAGCCUCUUGGUAUAUAUCUCCUGCUGGUUUUAUUUCUUGGCUGAACGUGGACCAAUAUACCUUCAUAUGGAUCAAUUUAUCUAAUCCGCUCAAAAACACUGUUUUGAUUCUCAUUUUAAACUGGAACCCAGAGAAGGUGAGCAGUGCCAGCAAGCAGCUAAGCCAGGACUCAAACCACAAGCCUUCUCCCUCAGAGCCCAUGUUCUCAGCUGCUACCGCAGAGACUCGCAGGGUGACAGCCGUGUAGAUAGUAGCCAGCGCAGGAUAGCUGACAGGCUUUCAGAUGGAUGGGGCAGUCGUGACUGACUGACUGACUGGGACACUGUUGUGAGGGAGGGGGUGGCAGCUGCCCAGAGCAAGUCACCAUGGCACUCGGUCCUGGGGGACACACACAUUUUGACAUCCCCUUCCAGCAAUAAUCUGUCCUUUCCUCUGAGUGCCCUGACAUUCUGGGUGAGCACAGAAUGUUCCCUCAGCCUUGUGUUUGCUUGUACAUUAUUUUGCUUUCGAGUUAUCCUUUGGUGGUUUAUUCCAUUUGUUUUCUCAUAGGGCUGAGCUUAUUAAAGUUCCCUGACAUGUUCACUCUCCGUCCUCUAUCCCGAACUCUUUCCUCUGAUUCAUUCAUUCAUUCAAAAUUAUGUUGAAUUACCCUUUUUAACAAAGCAGCACCCAAGAAGAAGAUGGGGUGGUGGCUCAAAAGGAACUGAGGGGCCUCCAAUAUCUUGGGGGUUGCUCCUUGGCUGGGUACAUGUCAUACUUGAGUGAAAAUUACCCCUGAGGAGAAAUAAGUUAAAGAAAAACCUUCGGGUCCAAGUUUGGGGUGCUGAUUUUCCCACCGUUUAAAAUAAUGGAGUAGACAUCUACGGCAUUUGAUUUGUCUCUGUGUAACAGCUCGGGCUGGAAAUGCUGAUCUGCGCUCACUCCUGGCUCUCCUGCCCGUGGCCCUGCAGUCCUGAGGGGGCUCAACGUGAGCAGACCAGGGGCUGAGGAGCAGAAGGCAUUUCCUCCUAACAAUGGCUUCUGGAAAAUGAGAAGAGUGGAACUCGAGCCACAGUCGUCAUGUGAGGGAAAACCAGACCUGCCUCUGCCAGGCUUGGGGCUGCAGAUGGGACUUGGAACCAGAGCUAAGGGGAGAGACAGCCUAAGACCCAUGACCUCCUCCACACAGGGAGAGGUGGCUCCUGACUGGUAUCACAUCUAAGAAAGUGAAAGUGAAAGUCACUC